rnacentral:rRNA from 1 species
GACAGAGGGGGCAAGCGUUGCUCGGAAUUACUGGGCGUAAAGGGCGCGUAGGCGGGAUGGCAAGUCGGUCGUGAAAUCCCUCGGCUCAACCGAGGAACGUCGAUCGAUACUGCUGUUCUUGAGGAUUGCAGAGGAGACUGGAAUUCCCGGUGUAGCGGUGAAAUGUGUAGAGAUCAGGAGGAACACCCGUGGCGAAGGCGGCCCCCUGGGCCGAACCUGACGCUGAGGCGCGAAGGCUAGGGGAGCGAACGGG